rnacentral:rRNA from 1 species
GAAUUGCAGAAUCCCGUGAACCAUCGAGUCUUUGAACGCAAGUUGCGCCCGAAGCCACUAGGCUGAGGGCACGUCUGCCUGGGUGUCACGCAUCGUCUUUGCCCACAGACCACUCACACCUGAGAAGUUGUGUAGGUUUGGGGGCGGAAACUAGCCUCCCGUACCUUGUCGUGCGGUUGGCGGAAAAACGAGUCUCCGGCGACGGAUGUCGCGACAUCGGUGGUUGUAAAAGACCCUCUUCUCUUGUCGCGCGAAUCCUCGUCAUCUUAGAGAGAUCCAGGACCCUUAGGCAGCACACACUCUGUGCGCUUCGACUGUGACCCCAGGUCAGGCGGGACUACCCGCUGAGUUUAAGCAUAUCAAUAAGCGGAGGA